rnacentral:lncRNA from 1 species
GGUUUACUUCUCGUGCAAAUUAUGUUAUUACAUUUGACUAGGAGGCUGAGUUAUAAUUGCAAAGUCAUAAAAUUUGUAUGCUAUGUUUGCUCUUAUAUAUUUUGUGCUUUUGAUGAACUUAAUUACGAAAAGGGGAUUAGCUGAAGCAUGUUAGGAAUUUACCCUAAUUGACAUCUGGCCGACAGCGGGAUGACAGUGGAAGAAUAUAUGGGUAAACAGGUUAUUAUGUGUGCAGCUUGAGGGUUUGUAAAUAUCUAUCUUUAAGGCCUUGAUGUGGAAAGGGCGAUUCUCAUACUGUCUGCCCUGUGUUCUACCUUAUUUGUCUUCUUUAUCAUGUGUUCUAUAAUAGGAUUGUUUUAACUUUUGGCUGUUCUACUAGAAUUUUCUAGCCUUGUUUCUACAUAUAUGCCCAAGAUGUUGAUGUGAAAUUUCUUUUUGAGAGGAUGAUCCUUUUUGUUUUCCCUUUGAAGUACUGGUUAAAGGCGUUAUUUCAUUGUGUUGUUACAUGACAAUAAUACAAGCAGUAGUCAUGGAUGAAAAGUUUUGGCCGACAAUUCUGUAUUACCAAAAAUGGAUGUAUGAUGUUUUAAAUAUUUUUUUAUUGAUGCUAUAAAAUCCGACUCAGUCCUGCUCCAGUAACAUUUUAGAUGCUGAAAAUCUAAUUAUCUUCUACUCUUUUUGUUGAAUAACUCUGCUAUUUUUUGUUGCAGGGAAAUCUAAUCAUGCAAGUUCUGCCAAGAGAUCUGGGCAUCUUAUCAGACCCACUUCUCCCAAGUCUCCUGUUGCUAGUGUCAGUGCUUUUGAAAGUGUGGAAGGAUCAGAUGAUGAAGAUAAUAUGACUGACAGUGCUGGACUAAACGAUGCAUAUCUACAUGCCAAUGGGAAUGCGGUAAUACUUAAUGAUAGAUUUGGGCGUGCACAAUUCCAUUUGGUUUUUUUUAUUCCUUGUAUUUUCUUGAUUCAAUCAAUGUCCUUGUGCUGUCAAGGAUUUACUUUCUCGAGUCUUGCCAAUGUUGUAUAAUUUCUUUUCAUUUAUGAUGCUACAUAAAGUCCCCAGGAAUUCACUAAAUUGACCCUAUAACGAGCUGGGUCCUGAAUGUUAAAGUAUGUUUCAGGAUUUACCGGAUCACAGGAAUGCCAAUAAUGGAGAGCAAAUGGCUAUGUCUGCAUCAAGUAUGAUUCGAUCCCAUAGCGUAUCUGGUGAUCUGCACAGUGUGCAACCAGACCCUGUGGCUGCGGACAUUCUCAGAAAAGAACCAGAACAGGAAACCUUUGUGAAGCUGAAAAUUGCCCCAAGGGGUAUUACAUCCUCUUCUUUCCUUUUUAUGUUAUAGGGUAUAGCUUUUGUCAGCCCAUUGGUUGUUUCUGUCCUGCAGCAUACUUGCUAAUGAUUAGGCUAAUAAUUUAUGCUUUGAUGAAAACUUAAGUGUCAUGUUACAGUUAAACUACCUUAUUUUUCCUUCAGGUGUUAUUGAUUGACUAAUAUCACGGCUGAAACCAAGGGAUUUGUGGAAAUUUGUUUAAUUUAACAUUUAAUGUACCCAUCCAUACUUUUUUCAUUCUUCUUGGUCAAAUGGAAAAGAAGAACAAACAGUCGGGUAGCAGCAUUUCAUUUCCAACAGCUGAGCUUUAAUCUUCAGCCUUGGUUUUCAUAGAAGUUAAGAAGCAAUAAUCAUAAUACCGAUGCUUGUGAAUAAACUAUAUCACCAUAUUAGUACAAAAUUGACUGUUCUGUUCAUUUUUGUAUGUGUGAAAGCAUCAUGACGAUAAUUCUGUUCUAUUUUUGGUCGUCCAUGUAUCUAUUCUCCCCCUCACUGUUAGUGUGCACUUUAUGUACUUUUCAGACUAUUGGAAUUAACAUUGGAAUCUAUCCUUGCUUGUAAUAAAUGUACAUGGAUGCCAAAGCCUAUAUUUUAUUUCUUUGUAAUGAUUUUCAGAGACACCAUCUCCUGAUGAAGUGGACGUCUAUCGGAAUCUGCAAGUGUGCCUAGAAAUGAGAAAGACAUAUGUAUUUAGGGAAGCUGUUGCGCCAUGGGAAAAGGAAAUCAUAACUGAUCCAAGCACACCAAAGCCCAUUCCAAAUCCAUUUGAUUAUAUGCCAGAACGAAAAUCUGAUGUAAGAUAAAAUGCGUUAGAAUUUUUUCUUUUUUUGGUUGAUUUUUCUUAUGUGUGAGUAGUUUGAGGAUUUUAUUUUCUGUUCCUGUUGUUUUACUUUGUUGUGUUGGCACAUUGUUAUUAAGUACAGGGUUUCGAGUCACUAAUAUGUUGAGUGUUCCUACAGCAUUCUUUUCAGAUGGAAGAUGGAGUUGUGCAAGUUUAUGCUAAUAAGGAGGGUAAGAUGCUUGGUACCUUUGUCAUUUUUUUGGUAUAAUAGUGUAUCAUCUUUGCCCUUUUUCCCCUCUGAUUUUUAUUAUUUUCCUUCAUCUAGCAACGGAGAAACUUUUCCCAGUAGCUGAUGCAACCACCUUUUUCACUGACCUGCACCACAUCCUUAAAGUUAUUGCUGCGGGGAAUAUUCGGACACUAUGUCACCAUCGCCUAGUACUUUUAGAACAAGUAGAUACUAUGACUUUGAUAGUUGUUUGUAGGAAGUGUGUUGAGUUUUGUUAGUGACCUAAAAUUGUUUGCUUUUCAAAAUACUGACUUAUAUGUUGUCCAGAAAUUCAACCUCCAUUUGAUGCUUAAUGCUGAUCGGGAAUUCCUUGCUCAAAAAAGUGCCCCACACCGUGACUUCUAUAAUGUCAGGAAAGUCGACACCCACGUUCACCACUCAGCCUGCAUGAACCAGAAGCAUCUUUUGAGGUUUAUAAAGUCAAAGCUGAGGAAAGAGCCUGACGAGGUGUUGGGUCAUUCUACUUGAGCUGUCUGCCAUUUUCAAAGCAUCAUAUAUACUUCUCUUCUUCUGGAUUAAAAGUGUCACUAACAAAAGUUUUUAUGGAAUAAAAUCUGUAGAACUUUUCACAAAUCCAUCAAGAUAGUGCCAUUUUUCUGAGUAUCUUACAUAGGUAUACCUUUUCUUCAGGUUGUCAUAUUUCGUGAUGGUACCUAUUUGACAUUGAAAGAAGUUUUUGAGAGCUUGGAUUUAUCUGGGUAUGAGAGGCUCCUAAAUUCUGUGCUUUGAAGAAUUGCUCGCCUCUCAGUUCAACUCUUUUGACUUGACUCAUUGCUUUUUGACAUCUGCUUUUCGCUUUUUUGUUUCACUGAUAAUUUUUUUUCCCAAACAGGUAUGAUCUGAAUGUUGACCUACUGGAUGUUCAUGCUGACAAGAGCACCUUUCAUCGAUUUGACAAGUUUAAUCUUAAGUACAACCCUUGUGGUCAAAGUAGGCUAAGGGAGAUUUUUCUGAAGCAGGAAAACCUUAUACAGGGUAUUGCCAUAUUUUCUCUUCAGACCUGAAAAACUAGAUCUUCAUUUUAGUGAAAAAGAAGUUUCCACAUUCUAGGUCAUACCACUUGCUUUCGAUCACCAUGCAUUUCCUUUGCAAUAUGAAUUAAGAUAAGCCAUCCAAUUCUUCUGUUUCUUCUUCGUCAUUUUCUUUCUUGUUACUCAAGUUCCACUUCGCGCCAGAUUGUCCCCUUGAUUCUGUUUUCAAUUUUUGUUUACUUGGAAGCUUUAUAUUUGUUUAUCAGAUGUAUUGAGUUUAAGAUUUAUUAUAUCUGCAAAUUUGCAGGUCGUUUCCUUGGUGAGCUGACUAAGCAAGUUUUUUCUGAUCUUGAAGCAAGCAAAUAUCAAGUGCGUCCUUUGUGUGUAAUGAAAUUUAUCAUCUGCUUUUUCAUUUUUAUUUUUCACCGUGCAGAAGAUCAGCAAUGCCUUAAUAGUUCUUCCUUUUGCUUUGUGACACACUGAGCAACCCUGACUUACAACGAAACUUCUUGGCGGCCAUUUUUGUUCUCUUCUGUCCAUUUUGUGAAAGCUUUUCCAUUUGUUUAUCUUGUAUCCUUUCCUUUUCUUUUUCUUUGGGAGAGUGGGCCUUUACUUAUGUCAUUUUUUCUUCUUAAAUUAAGUAUUCUUCCCAGUACUUAUGUCAUCUUUUGUAUUUUUGUUAAGCAAGAACUUUAAGGUUAAGAUGCUUGUACCGCUUGAAAAAUAUGUGAAGAUUGUUGCUUGAAGUCUGCAUUGUCUUCACUUUCUGGCUGAGAUGACAAGACUUCUGCACAACAAUUUUAGCUUUGAUGAGGGAAGGUGUCUGGUCUCCUUGUUUUCUUCAAGCACGUUUUAUAUACUUUUCAAAUGAUAUUUAGAUUCUAGGGUAAAGUUUCUGCAGGUUGGAAUAUCUUGGUAAUUUUGUGUCAAAACUUGGAAGAUUUUUUAAAGUACAUCACUUGCAAAAUGAAUCUGGUGGUGUUGUUUUUGUUGUAGUCUUCUUUUCCUUUUAAAAUUAUAUGAGCAUUUUGAUGUUAUGAUUUGGGUUUCUGUCCAGUACAACGCUCCAUGAUUAUGCCAGUUAAAGUCCAAACUUCUUCACUCCUUAUUCUUGUUUGGAUUAAGUAUUGGUGGUUCUCCUUUGGUUCUGAUGCAGAUGGCUGAAUACAGGGUAUCCAUAUAUGGCAGAAAGCAGAGUGAGUGGGACCAGCUGGCUAGUUGGAUAGUAAACAAUGACUUGUAUAGCGAGAAUGUUGUCUGGUUGAUUCAGGUAUCCAACAGAACCAACUGUAUUUGUGUUGAUGUCCUUGGCAAGAACUUUGUGGAAAGAACCUUAGUUCUUCUCUAGAAGGUCGAUACUAUUAAAUGUCGAUUAAAACAACCUUCUUCUCCUUUCUGCUCAACUUGUUCUCUCUAACAAUUGGACAGCAAUAAUGUCCUUAAGGAAAGCUUUUACGUACCCCUGGGUUCUCAGAAAUGCUCUAUACCAUGUUAUGUUUAUGCAAAUCGUUGUAUAUUGCCCAAAUAGUUCUGAUUACUUUUCCUAUGUUAAUUGGAAAACACUGUUCUCAUCUUAUAAUUAGUCGUGUGCUUUAAUAAGAAAAUUAUUUAUUAUUUGUCAAAAUUGGUUCUGUUUGCAGGAACAAAACCCUGGAAUUUCAAGAUUUUGUCUUGCAUGUCAUUCGCCCAUCUAUGGCCACUUACUAUUGUUCUUUUUCUCUGUUUUGCCUUUUCUUCUUGAAUUCUUCCACUGUCUUGAUUGAAGGGCUUAUGACUAUAAUUCAAAUACUUGUUACUUAACUUUUCAUGUUUAAUUUUGAUGUUUAACUUUUCUGUAAUUGGUUCUAAGAACAAUCAUAAUGAGGGGGAAAGAAGAAUCAAUACCAAUAGGCGCCUUAUACUACAAUUUUAUAAUAGGGGCCUGCUUUAUGCUUAUGGUUUAAAGUUUGAAGUUGUGUAUAGUCUUGCAAUGCAUCUGAUGCUGUCAAAAUGGAUAAUGCUGUUGACUGUCAGACAUAAAUGGCUAACUUUUGGGGAGCAUUAUGAAUGCUGUCAGACUUGGAAAUUCUAGGAGAUUGGUUUCGUGUUGUAUAACUAGGUUCAGAGUCUCUGAGUGCUGUCCAAUGGACACAAUGUCAGGUCUGAAGCCUAUUAUGAUUAGGGAGAAAAGCAUCUAAGUUUGAGGCGGUAUAAAAUCUCUUGUUUCAGCCCCUUUUUUUCCCUAAGCAUCUUGUUUAAUCAGAAUAUUAAAUGCUAUCUGAAUAGUGAUUUUCGUAUUGAAUUUCAAUUCUUUUCAGCUUCCAAGACUCUACAAUGUCUACAAGGAAAUGGGAAUUGUGACAUCUUUUCAGAACAUUCUUGAUAAUGUUUUCCUUCCUUUGUUUGAGGUUACUGUGGAUCCAGAUUCACAUCCUCAGUUGCAUGUUUUCUUGAAGCAGGUAUGCAUACUACCACUACAUCAACUUUAUUCUGCUUUAUUGGGUAAUAAACCAUGUUCAUUGAAUACUGAUAAUUCUCCGGGUUAAUCUCCCUGAAAGCUGGGUUCCUUUUCAUGUUCCCUCAAUAUUCCUUUUUCUGUUCCAUAUGACAAUGUUUGAAGGCAGACAAGAGGUGGCUUUUGGUAGCAUGUAAAAAGAUGAUAGGGUUAAAACCCUGUAGUAGUGUCUAGGAGAUAGUUAUAAGUGAAUAAAUGAUGAGCUAUUCACCAUUGCCAGAUGUGGGUGUUAUAAAUUCAUGUUUUUUAGUUAACAAUAGUCUUUGUAUAAUGUCUAAGAUGGUUUAACUAAAUCCUGUUCCUGGAUAUUCAGGUGGUUGGAUUUGAUUUGGUGGACGAUGAAAGUAAGCCAGAAAGACGUCCUACAAAACACAUGCCGACACCUGCUCAGUGGACCAACAUAUUCAAUCCUGCAUACUCAUACUACAUUUACUAUUGUUAUGCUAACUUAUACACCUUAAAUAAGGUAAAGAAGUUGUUUCUGUUUAUGCACUCUCCAGAAAUUGAGAAAAAUGAAGUAAUUUACCAAUUGUGUGAUUUGCUUCUCCUUUGUUUUUUUCCUUUUUUUUUUUGGGAAAGGGGGGGGGGGUUGUGGUGUUAGGCAGUGCACCGUGGGGUUGAUGGAUGGUAUAAAGGUUGGGGUUGGGGAUAAUGGGCUUACCACAUUUCAAUAUUAUCAUUACAGCACUACUUUACAUCUCUAUCAACUGUAAGAGGCCUUUAAGAUUUGGGCAAUAGCUUUUUGGUCUUUGUCCUGAUUUUUUCCUAGACUUUUUUUUUUGCCUUACAAUACAGGCAAUAGCUUUUUGGUGUUUUUGCUAAUUUUUUUUUUCUGUUAGACUAUUGUUUUUCACUUCUGUCAUGACUCAUGGGGCUAAUACCAGGAAUGGAAACUUGAGAUAGGAUUACUGUAAUAUAAAUAGUAUUUUCUUAAAUUGUUACUAUGAUUGAGUUGUUGCUUGUAAGAUGCAAUAGCAAAAAUCCUCCUAACAUUAUUUUCCAGGGCCUUUUCUGCUUUCCACUGUUUUUCUGUAACAGUUUUGCAUUUUUUCCCUUUUUUUUGUGGCCCGGGGGGAGGGGGGGAGGUGUUUUGGCAUUGCAGAAGAGGAAGGUUUAAGGAUUCCUUCACCUAAAGAUGGUGGUGUUUUCACCGGUGUAUAUGAUUAUAUGGUUAAUCUGUUUGCUGGCAUUGUUUUGUGAGAAUUAAUUGCAUAACAUUUCAGCUUCGCGAGUCAAAAGGAAUGACCACUAUCAAACUCCGUCCACAUUCUGGAGAGGUACAUAAAUGUUCAUUCUGUGUGAUCUGAAGUUAGAUUGAUUGUGUUAUUGAUGGUUUCAGUUUGUUAGGCUGGUGAUGUUGACCACCUUGCAGCGACAUUUCUUACUGCUCAUAAUAUUGCGCAUGGAAUCAACUUGAGAAAAUCUCCUGUACUUCAGUAUUUGUACUACCUGGCCCAGGUAAAACAACACACGUCAAAUUGAUUAGCUUCCAAAGUGUGCACAUUGUAAUGCAUUGGGAUGGUUUCUUUGAUUUCAGAUUGGUCUUGCCAUGUCUCCACUGAGCAACAACUCAUUGUUUUUGGACUACCAUCGGAAUCCAUUUCCCAUGUUUUUCCUGCGUGGCCUCAAUGUGUCGCUUUCAACUGAUGAUCCUUUGCAGAUUCACCUAACAAAAGAGCCCCUCGUGGAAGAAUACAGCAUUGCAGCUUCUGUGAGUUCUUCAAGUCUUUUGUCAGAAAAUAUUUGAGUUGUGAACUGUUAUGGUUGUCCAAUAAGUUUGCUAUCUGGUGCAGGUUUGGAAGUUAAGUUCAUGUGAUAUAUGUGAGAUUGCACGGAAUUCAGUUUAUCAAUCUGGUUUCUCUCAUGUACUGAAGGUAAGUUAGUCCUGUUGAAGUUGUACAAUUUGUGUUUGCAAUAAUAUAAAUUCUCCACCAAAUUUAUUUUCUAUUUUAUUUCUUUUGAGUAACGCUUAACACAGUGCUUCAUAGUUUGCAUUAUUGUUAUUUUUGGGUGGACAUGCCAGAUGGAAUAUGCUGCAGCAAACGCCUUUUUGGCCAAGUUGUUUAGUCCUUUUGCCUUAUCUACGUAUACCCUAAAUCUUGAUGCCAUUCAAUUGCUGCUUUGUUAUCACUAAUUUACUGGGAAAGCAUGUUCUCAUUUGGCAAGUCUAAUUCCUACUAUUUUGGAUGGGGGCCAAUUGCAGGCCCUUUUAUGGUACUUUGUAGAGUACAAUAAAUAUUUUAAUCUGCCUGUGUUUGCUUUUUUGAAGCCUAUCCUUUAUAACAAUUGUAAAUAUAUGUUUCCUGUUGUAAUGUCUGAACUAUGAACAUCUGUUCUUAGUCUCACUGGGUCGGGAAGGAAUACUACAAGAGAGGACCAGACGGGAAUGAUAUUCACAAGACAAACGUACCUCAUAUCCGCCUUGAAUUUCGUGAUAUGGUAUGGAAGUUGUUUUGAAUUAUGUUUUAAUGUCUUCACAUUAUGAGAGAAUCAAUAUCUUUGCUAUAUAAUAUAUAUAUAUAUAUAUAUAUGUCUAUACCAAAUUCAUUGUUGUACAGGCAGUCUGAAAUGUCAUAAACAAGCAGUUUUGAAAAGCUUUGGUAAAGAGGAAGUACUAGGAAAUAUGGUUUUCUUUUCCUUCUAAUCAGUGGAUUUGAAGGAAGGAAACUGAUUCAAAUUCUAAUCGUUCUCUCCUUAUCGCGUUAUCCUAAUGCAUUUUUCAGAAGUUUUACCUUUUGGAAUGGUCUUUGGUUGAUGAUGGAGGCCUCUGUUUGAAGAUUAGCUUCCAAAAUCCAAGUUGGAUCAGAUGAAGCAAAUCUUAUCGUGAAGUUACAUAUUGUCAUUUGAAUAAAUUUUGGCUUCUCCUAGCGACGCCUUUUUUUUUUUUUUUUUAAAGCAGAUCAGGUGUUAGAAUAUAAAGGUGACAAAUUACGUGUUCAAUAUUGCAGAUUUGGAGAGAGGAGAUGCAACAGGUUUAUUUGGGAAAUUCUAUAUUUGCUGAACAUAUUGACCCAUAAUAAGCUUGGCUGGCUUUCUUUUGCGAGCUGGAACUUUUACAUUCUAUGUGGAGGUAUCCCUAAAAUUUAUCCAUUAGAACUGAGGAAAUUUUCCAUUCUCUGUUUAUUUUUGUUAUUUCUGUAGAAGUUCUUUUUUCCUUUUUAUUCCAUAUCAGAUAAGGGCUGCAACGGUACUACAAAUUAAUGAUGGUGUUGCCUGCACGUCUGCUCCUCUUUUUCUUUUUCUCAGGAAAAGUGCAAAAAAGCCAAGGACCUGCGGAAUAGAACUUUAGAACAGAGUAGUAUAUGCAUCUCAAGAAAAAUUAAAGAAAAGAAAUAAAGCAAAAGCCAAACAGGACAUAUCCAUGUAAUAGAGAAUAGUACAAGGUAACUUUGUAUUUUACUUUGUAUAAACAUGUAUAAUGUGAUCCGUCACCCACGGCAACUGAAUGUUGAAGCUUAUUUGAAAACACAAUAAUGAGUUCUUGAGUUGCGACUCAGUUGUUGCCAAGGUUAUGAACGGGAAGAUUUAAGUCCCCUUUUGUAACAGUGGGCUGCCUCUUAGUCUUAGGGGUACCUCCUAACAAACCCCGGUUGGACGCUAUUAUUAUAUAAAAGGCAGUCUCAAAGGCGUGACAUAAACUCGGGCAAGAGAGCAAAAUAUCACCCUCCUCACAAAGGCUAAGGCCGUGAUAUGUCAAGGCGUGUAGGACCAUGCAACUUCAGAUAUUUAGAUUACACUUCUUUUGCAGGGGCAGGGUCGGACUUGGCCGAAGGAUGUCACCUCCCGAUUAGGAGUAACUAUGUGCAAAUAAAUAUAAUAAAGGAGAUUCACGGCCAGUACCGUCGCGCUUGGAACAUACAACAAAUACUAGCAGAACAUCAAUGAAUAGAGAGAGACUAAAGUAAUCAAUCAUCAUCAUGUACAUCAGCAAAUGGCUCAUUCAUCCAACAAAGUAGGGAAUGCUCGGCUGGACAGAAGUACCAUUAACCAGCUGCAUACAAAUCAACCAACAAGCUGGAAGAAAUCCGUAAUAUUAUUUAAAAUGUGAAGUUUAAUACAUCAUCAUCGUCAAACAUCUUUCUUUCUUAGUUUAGCCUUCCUCUUCGCCGUUAGAAGGAAAUCCAAGCACUGAACACUACCAUGUACACCGGCUGUUUGCAUCUGAUACUUAACUCCACCAUCUCACUCAUUCUUGAAGGACUGCAAAAAGAUACGAACGAAAUCAACAAAUCGUACAUCUACUUAUCCAAGCAUACAAAACUCAGCAUUGAUCUGAGCAUCCAACCUCGAAAUUUUUGGCCACCUGCUCCGAAACUUUUUUCUUCACCUCUGCGGCUGCAUCCAACAUUAUUUCGUCAAGAAGAAAACGUUAGCCCAAUUUAAUAAAAGAAGAAGAAGAAGAAGAAGAGUGCUGCACUCAAAGAACCAAAAACCAAAAGAAUUGAUGAGCAGCAUGGGAUACGAGCGCAUGCCUUUGACAGAAACGUUCUCUAUCCUCUUCGAUGUCCUAACUGCAAAUCUUUGGAAAGCAGGACUGAAACAGAUUAUAAGAAUUAGUAGGAAACAUCAGAACAGAUCAGGAUAGUACUUCACACCGUCCAAGCAAAAACAGUCCACAAGGAUAUAGAAAUUUAAUGUACACGAGCAACUAGAGUCCAAAUCUCACAACAAAAGAAAGUACCCAUAAGUUCAGUACUAAUCCCUGAAUGUAUUUAACCAAAAAUAUGACCAACGACUAUAGUUAUCCCUACCAAAAAACAAUAAGUUGUUGACAGCAACAUACCAUCAAGCUAAUAAUUUGCGUAUGCUUCAAGUUUCAAAGCAACCAAAAAAUCAUACUUGAUAGCAAAAUAAGAUAUCUUUAACCAAAAAAUAUGAAUCCCUGCCCCCAACACCAAAGAACCCCCAACCCCCCCCCCCCCCCCCGCGGCCGCGGGGCCCAAAAAAAAUAGAAGAAGAAGAAGAAGACACCAAACUCCUAGGCAAUUAAAGCCACCAAAAGUAUAGUCAAUACAAAUGCCAAUUUACAACAAGCUCGAAAAAACAAGUCCAAUUAAAAUAUAAAAGAACAAGUACAUGAACCAGAUUCAUUAAAAUCUUGUAAAACAUAAAUGCUUCAGAUUGUAUGACCGUAUAACAAGUUCAAAAAAAACUAGGCAGCCUCAGAGCACUAAAGUUUGAAAAGAACAAUUGCGAUCAUUUCCGCAAAUCAUUACAAGCCUACGAAAGUCAUCAUCGGCAUGCGAGCAUUAAAGGAAAAGGAUUAUCAUUUUCACUAAAAUAAAAUUCAGACCAAAUAGCUCAAAACGGAAGCCGCAUCAAUUUAGUAGAAACUACUAAUGAGAUACGUGGAUAAGAGUAGAAAAAUGCUUCCAGAGACGCCAAAAUAUUCAGGAAAAUAGAGUCUGUAAAUAAUGAUAACCUGUUCGCGAGGCCAUUCACGAUGAGCUCGUUGGCGACGUAAGACAUGACCCGAUGGAUGAAAUUUCCUCCUCCAGCCAUUAUCGAUUCCUCUCGGAGACUGAUCAAGUCAAAAACAUGUUAAUUAUUGGACAAUUAGAUAAUAUAUUCGAGAAAGCUAAGAGUUUAAGGGUCAUAGAAAUAGCAAAACGACAAUGAAGAGAGAGGGCUUCAACCUGAGAUGCGAUGGCCGAAAUCGGAAACUAGGGUUUUUAGAGUCAGAAAUCGCGAUAACCUCCUGUAUUUGGAGGCUGGAGGCUGGAGCUGGAUUGACGCCAACAAGAGGCGGGUUUCCUAAAACUCUAAGUUGGGUGGGUCCCCGGGAAAUUCGGGUCUCUGGGCAUAUAAACUAUAAUGGGCUUCUACCAGUAAUGGGCGCAAUUUGGAGUUUUGGGUUGGGAUUCCCAACGGAGCCCAGAGAGCCCAUCCGUGAUAGCAGGUCUAAUAUGCUUACUGUACGGAUCUUCUUGUUGAUUAGAGCACGAAAUAAGAGGCCAGCACCCAUUAACUUUGAAUGUAAAAUUCAGAUUCAGAAACGUAAAGUUAUCAGGAAUGGCAAAUACUUGGAUAAACCCUCGGUUUAUAUAGAUUUUGCGAUUCAAAUUUUGUCAUAUGUCAUAUCAUCACGCGGACUCAAAAAUUAAUGGUGUGACAAAAUUUGAAUCACAUGAUUUACAAGACUACAUCUACCCAAGUUUUUUGCCACCGUUAAAUUUGUCAUAAAGACUCAAAUAGGGAUGCAUUCCCUCCUCGAGCUCUUCUCUUUCUACUUGCAAAGGCUUGAAAAGAAAAAAAAAAAUGAAUGGAUGCUUGUCUAGGCGGGCAAUAGAAUAGAGAAAGCUCUAGCAUGUUAUGGUAUAGCGUACGAGGCUUUUUGGCCUCAUUUUGACCAAGAAAAAAUAAUUUUAGCAAAAGAUAAGCUUUCCAAAGAUAAAAUAAACGAUAAGCCUAUACAAAGAGCAAGAUUGCCCAGUCGCAUCAUGGUAUCUAGACUAUCUACCAAAGGCAUUCAUCUACAGUCAAAACAUCCCAGUGCUAUACCUCACUCUACAACGGAAUCUCAAAUCGCUUUUACAAGUGGAACUUUCCUCCAUCAGGCUCCAACAAGCCUAACAGUAGUGUCAACAAUGGUUGCAAGGAUUCUAUCAGCAGCAGCAGGAGCAGGAACAUUCUUGAAAAUAGCCUUAUUUCUGGCUUUCCAAACCUGAUAGAUUGUACUAAUAGCCAACAAACGGCUUGAAAUUCCAGUGCAGGUGGACUCAAUAGAUCAUGGUUUAGCGCCCCUGCACUCUUCACGUAAUGCUUGAAACUUUUGCCAUACGAUUGCAGUCACCGGACAUUCAAAAAAUAAAUGAUCUAUAAUUUCCUCAGUAGCAUUGCGCAGAAUACAACAGAAUGUUGAACCAAAAGGUUGUGCCAAUCCUCUAAGCUUCAAGACCUUCCUCCACACUUAAAGAGCAAUCAGAAGGAAUAUUAACCCUCAAAAGUGUUAGUGAUAAAUUAUUCCCUUUAAAGUGCAUUUUCUCUGCAAAUUCACUAAGGGCCUCUGUUUGGAGUUAAAGUGGCUUAUCAAAACGCACUUAAAUUAGUAGAGAUUUUAGUCAGAGUAGUUAUGAAAUGCUUGCUCACAUUAUUAUUUGGAUGCAUAUAUUAUUGGGGUGCAUACUUACAUAAGUGAUUUUUUAUUUGAUAAUGGGUAACUUUGAAUUUUUAAAAUAUUUUUAUCUCUUCAUUUAGUUUCCAAAUUUAUAAUAAAAUUAUUAAAGGAUUUUUUAAAUAAAAUAAAAAAUGUUCAAUUUAAUAAAAAUUUGAAAAUUUUUAUUUUUUUUUAAAACACAAAAGUUCCUCUAAAACACUAAUUUUAACUUGUGUUGACAGUGCUUUAAUGUUCAAAAUUUUCAUUCCUAAAUUCGAGGAAUUACGCUUACCACACACAUUAACUUUUAUCCUCCAAAAGCACUUUUCUAGCAAAAACACCAUAACCCUUUAUGGUGCUUCUCAUGGAAAAACAUUUUUAAUGUAUUUGGUUAACAUCAUUCCUUGCAUUUAGGCGAACAGCAUUUGAAUAUUAAUGGCCAUUUUGGGUUUUGAUGGUUUACGAAAAAGUACUUCAAUUAGUAGACCUUUCGGUCAAAAGUACUUAUUAAGUUCUUAAUUAUAUUGUUUACGUGCAUAGUUGCAUAAGUAUUUUUCUAUUUGAUAUAUGCAAUUUUGAAUUCUAAAACAAAUUUAUGUCUUUAUUUAGUUUAAAAUAUUUAACAAAAUUAUGAAAGCUAAUUUUGUAUUUUUGAAACAUAAAAGUUGCUCUAAAAGCAUCAUUUUAGUUUAUGCCAAAAGCCAGUUGAUAUUGGCACUUGCAAAAAAGAUCAGAGCACUCCAUCCUCCCAUCUAAAGCAAAAGAAGGGAUAAAGUUCUUGAAAUUUUUUUAGGGAUGCUAAUAUCACUUUCCAAAAAACACGUGUAAAGGGUUCAAUUGAGAUUGUUUUCCAUUUGUAGUUGUUCUACUUAUUUACUUCUAUAUUUUUUUUUUUCAAAAAAGGAUAUUGUAGUGAUGGAAUUAGUGAAAGUUUCUCAAGUUUACCGUCAGUUUCAUUACUUUGGCCACUAUAAAUAGUUAUUUGUUUGUAGGGCUGUAAAUUGAACCAAGUAGUUUGAUACUCGACUUGAACUCAUCUCGAAUCAAGCUCAUUCAAGUUUGUUUGUUUAGGUAUUCAUCCAAACCCGAGCAUAAUUUCAAACUCAAAAAUAUUAACAAAUCUAUCACGAUUUUCACGUUGUUCGACUCGAUGUAUUCAGGAACAUAUAAAACAAGUAAAUUUCAUAAAAAUAUUCUUAAAGUUUCCUUCCUUAACUCUAGUUGUUUCCUUCACGCAUAUUGCCUAUCUUAUAAAAUAGCAAGCAUAUAAUAAUAUUCUUAUCUCUUGAAUAGAAAUAAUUGAUUUUAAUUACAUCUAUAAUUCAUAGUCAUAAAUUUUUUGAAUAGGCAUAAUUGACAAUGACAUCCCUAAUUCAUCGUAAUAGAUUUCUUGAAUAUUAGAGAGCAAAAAUUAAGGGAAAAAAAAAGUAAGAAACUAGAGUGAAAAUUUCUAUAUAAUACAACAUGAAAUUUCAAGCCAAACUUUGAUUGUAUGCCAUUGAGCUCAAUACUAAGACAUGCUAAGCCAAACUUUUCAUAAACAUACAUUAGAAAUUUAAGCUAAAUUCAAUCAAUUUUUUUCAAAAAAUUAUCAAACACAAGCCAAGUUCAAACAUUCUUUUUAAUCUUCAAACCAAUUCUAAACAUACCUCUGUCUGCGUUGUGUCGUUGAGGUUCGUUUUCAACCUAUAUUGUUUGUACGAAGAGAUGUUAGCGAACGCGGUAAAGAUACAAACAACACAGAAUCGCAGGUGUCCUGGUUUGAGCAAGAGAUUUUAUACACCCCAUCCAUACAAAGUACAAACAACACUGAAUCUUAUGCUGCAUUUACAGCAUAAGAAAUUUCCUUGGGGAAGUUUACAACCACCUAGACUGUACUGCCAAUUUAAAUUGGUAUCCAUUUUUGUUUGCUACAGAUGUGCAAAAAGUAUUUGAUUCCAAGUAUCAGGGACUCCCGGCAAACACCAGUGUAUGCAAUCCGCAUUGUGUAACGGGUCAGCCUUUUGCUCGUCCGUCAACAAUUGUCCUUGUAACUCUGUGUAAAUUGAUGAGUGAGCGUCAAUCCUGUACUCGGAUAGUUGUGUUAUGUUAAUGAAUGUGACAGGCACUUUCAUCUUUUCAACUACACUGGCCACCACAUUCAUCAUCCUUCUAUCUGAACCACUUCCCCAGUGCCAUUUGUUCAAGAUGGGUUUUGUCUCGUUGAAGCACUUGAUCCCAUUCUUGUUGCCCCAGUCUUCACUCCUGAUAAUAUUUAUUGAACACAAACUCGCAUCAGUAUUUAUAUUUCAAUUCAAACAUGGGUUUGAUGAAAAAAACUAUUGGCCAUCAUGAAGAAAAGGAAAACAGAGUCUCCAUCCAGCUAAAGAAAUUUUUAAUAAGAAAUGUUUACAAACCUCUGAUGCGUGGGAGACAUUGUAGUAAAGAACACUCGAGUUGUAUUAGGAUCGAUUGUGGAAUCAACCCAGUUCGCCCAUGUCUUCAAUCCUAUUCUGUACGAAACAGGUGCGUCCAGCUCUUCAGAACCUUCCUCCCCAUUGGCAAAUGAACCCCAUCUGUGCUUCACCAGACGUUGAUAC